UACAGAGGAGCCAAGCGUUGUCCGGAUUGACUGGGCGUAAAGCGCACGCAGGCGGAUACGCGCGUGGGGUGUGAAAUCUGGCCGCUUAACGGCCAGGCGCCAUCCCAUACGGCGUGUCUGGAGCUGUGCAGAGGUCGGUGGAAUUCCCGGUGUAGCGGUGAAAUGCGUAGAGAUCGGGAGGAACACCAGUGGCGAAGGCGGCUACCUGGACCAGCACUGACACUGAGGCACGAAAGCGUGGGGAGCAAACAGG
rnacentral:rRNA from 1 species